UAGCUCGGCGCACCAGCUGUAUCAACUUCACCGAAUCCCUUGCCAGCCAACCAGAUCUGCUUCACUAACGCCCGCUUCUACUGAAACAGGGUCGACUCAUCGUCUCCCGCGUUCGCCGCCGCUGGAAUGCAAGUUGCCGCCCCCGUCCACCCCGCUGCAGCUUGGGAUUGAUCAUGCGAACCACUUAUUAGAAUAUCCAACAUUAACAGCGGGGACGCUAGGGAAGAUUAAGGACAAUGGAGCAGGAGGAUUAGCAUUUCACUUGAUGGCUGAACUUAAAAUGACAGGCAUGUCGACCACGACUAGUGCACGCAAGAGAAGGACCUGCAGCGAGCCAGUAUGUGCUUAGUACAUGCAUCUUAUCUUAUCUUGUGCUUAUUUCUGCUACAUGCUGUUAUCUGAUCUCUACAUUGCGUAAUACAUGUUUGAAUAGUUAAUUGUUGGAACUAUGUUUGCAAUAUUACCAGAAUGUAGUUUUAAUGAAGCAGUCAUCAUUAGAAGAUAGUCGCCAAAGCGACCCUGUGCAACAUUAUGAUAAUGCAGGUGUAAUGAAGAAGUCCUUAGUAGAAGAUAGAGCGCAAAAAAGGUUCCGGGGUGAGCCUAUGCAACGAUAUAAUAAUGCAGUUGUGAUGAAGCAAUCUUCAUCAGAAGAGAGGCCCACAAAAAGUUCUGAUCUUUCUUCUGAUGCAUCCUCUCAUAGCCGUCAACCUAGACCAUUCCUUUCAUCAAAUAGUAAAUAUCUCAAGGCUGUACUUUAUAAAAGACAUGGUAUUGCUGCUUUAAGAUCUGUAGCUGAUAUGUUGACCAAGAGUACACAAGAUUCAAUCAAGGCGAUUGCCAAAUGUCAACGUGUUAUUGAUGAUGCUAAUAGAAGUCCUCAAUGAUUCUAUGUGAUUUUUUUAUUUGGGCACAUUAAUUGCCUUGUAAUUUUCCUAGUUAUUUUAUUUGUGUAUGUAAUUGUGUGUAUCAUUGAUACCAGAUUUUAGGCUCAUGAAAUUUAAUGCAAGUUGACUA